rfam:Schistosoma rodhaini strain Burundi genome assembly, scaffold: SROB_scaffold0002259
GCACUGCAGAGGAGUCCAACAAUAGGACGAAAGCGCCGUCCAGUGC